rnacentral:rRNA from 1 species
UACGUAGGGGGCGAGCGUUGUCCGGAAUCAUUGGGCGUAAAGCGCGUGUAGGCGGCCCGGUAAGUCCGCUGUGAAAGUCCAGGGCUCAACCCUGGGAUGCCGGUGGAUACUGUCGGGCUCGAGUCCGGAAGAGGCGAGUGGAAUUCCUGGUGUAGCGGUGAAAUGCGCAGAUAUCAGGAGGAACACCAAUGGCGAAGGCAG